CAGCAGCCGCGGUAAUACGGAGGAUGCAAGCGUUAAUCGGAAUUACUGGGCGUAAAGCGCACGCAGGCGGUCUGACAAGUCAGAUGUGAAAUCCCCGGGCUUAACCUGGGAACUGCAUUUGAAACUGUCAGGCUGGAGUCUUGUAGAGGGGGGUGGAAUUCCAGGUGUAGCGGUGAAAUGCGUAGAGAUCUGGAGGAAUACCAGUGGCGAAGGCGGCCCCCUGGACAAAGACUGACGCUCAGGUGCGAAAGCGUGGGGAGCAAACAGGAUUAGAUACCCCGGUAGUCCCUGUCUCUUAUAC
rnacentral:rRNA from 1 species